rnacentral:rRNA from 1 species
AUGGCUGACUAUCUAGCACGGUUCAGAGAGCACGUGUAUGUAGUCUGCGCUGGUGAAUGGAAGCCCCCGCCGCAAAAAAGAAGCGGCUCUUCCCACGGCUCUGUCACCAUUGACUCUAUUUAUUAUUAUGGUAAAUCAUUGUAUCAAGAUGUCAAUCUUAGAUCUUAUUUUAGUUCGAUACGUCCACCUACGAAACUCGCCCUUGGCUUUUGUCUCGGUAGGUGUAUUAUUCUACAUUUUCCCAAAAGGACAUUCAUUCAUUUCUUUCUUCCCGGGCGACCACCACGACUAAAACGAAAACAAGACAAGAAAUCAAGACCUGUACUACAGGAAAAGGGCUGGUGGCCGACAUUUGGGAAAGUUGGGCCGAUCGGGUGUCUUCAUUCAAGCGAGGGUACAGAGGAAGAACGAAACGAAGUGAGAGGACGGGGGGAAGGGAAAAGAGUCGAGUCGAUCGACCGGGAGAAGCAAAACGAAAUCCGGAUUUGGCCGAAAAAGAUGAAACAUUAUGGAUACCAUGACCGAUCACCAUCGAGAAAGAAGAAUUUUGAUAAAUCACUUCGGGUGAGCGGGGCCUUCAAGCGGCCUCAAUACGCCGGGGUUGUAAAUGACAUACCUUUCCUUAUGGGAAAUGCCGCCUCCUUACUAAAAAGGAAUAGAAUCAAGUUAUUUUUACCAAAGAAGUCCUGCUCUGACGGCCCGACGAGUCAUCUACUAAAAAGGACCCUCCCCGCUGUGCGCCCCUCCUUGAAUUAUUCGGUCAUGCAAUACUUUUUUAAUACUAAGAAUAAAAUGCAUUUUGACCCCGUCCUAGUUCUCAAUCAUUUCGUGGCACCGGGUGUGGCUGAACCAUCUACGAUGGGGGGAGCGAAGGGAGGAAGCUUAGAUAAGAGAAUACGCUCUCGCAUCACUUUUUUUAGAAAGCUCUACCAGCGAGAAAAAGUGUUUGGCCCGAGCCAAAAAGAGGUUGAUCCACUUCAUUCGCCAAUCGAAUGA